CAUCGGGGACAAGUUCCACGAAGCAUCGUCGGGAAACACCUUCUCCCGACGUGGCGAGAACAUCGAUAGAGUCCUAUAAGUUACUCGACGCAUUAACGACGUUGGCCGAAUGAACGUUGGGAGAAAGGAAUGUGGAGAGAAGUCGUGUUGUCUGCAUGUUUUGUUCUUAACUGUGUAUCCUACAAAAAACUAGACAAAACUCCCUACGAACUUUGGUAGAGAUACGCACCAAAUCUCAACUACUUGACGAUGUGAGGAUGCUUGGCUAAGGUUGUAAGAAGCUAAGCGAUCAUUUAAGGAGGUUAAGCGAUCAAGUUGAAAGAGCAAUCAUUUAAUUUAGAGAGCUAAGCAAUCGGGUUGAAAGGUAAGCAAUCAGAGCUAAGUGAUCGUGUAGGUAGCGAAGCGAUUGGGUUAAAAGGCAAGUGAUCGGUCUGAAGAGCUAAACGAUUGUUCAAGGCUGAAGACUGUGAAGGUGUUUAUGAUUUCUUAUUUAAGUCUUGCUAGAAAGAAAGCAUGAGUUUUUCUUUGUAUUUGGUGUAAAUUGCUAAGUUAACAAAGAGAAAAAGUUGUGUUUAGUUCGCUACAUUGUUUGGUGCUUAUUGCUUAGUAGUUAAAGAGCUUGAGUAAAACUAAGUUAAGUGAGUUAAGUUGGUUGUUUAAGUUAUUAUAUUGCAUUGUACUUAUCAAAGUCAAUUUUUUUUUAUUUGAACUUUUAAAUUGUUAUGCUUAA